GAAAAAUCAAUAUUUAAUCUACAAAAUAUUUUGUUACAUGAUUAUUAAGGCUCAACCUGUUUUGUAUUUGCAUUGACAGAAUAUAAAACCAUACUUUAAGUAAAACAUUAUAAUAGUCAUUGUUAAGAAAGGCCUUCUAACUGAAUUUAUAAGAAAAGGGGCUGUAUCACAAGCAUAGCUCUGGAAUGAAGGGAACUAACAUCCUAGAACUGUCUAAUAUAUACAUCAGGUUGUAAAAUUCCAGCCUUUAUUUAUGUGCUGGAAAGUAUCUUUUUUACAUAUCUUUUUUUAAUGGAUGAACUCUUGUGAUUCCCACAGAAAAAGGAAAUGUCCUUAAAUUUAGAUCUGCACAAAUGAUCUACCCAUGAAUUCAUUUACACUGUUAAUGUGAUCCUGUAACUGGAAAAGUGAGCAGACGAGUCACAAACUGGUCAGCUCCUUGGAAGUCUGCUCAUUUGACUCCAAAAUGGCCAAACUCACAAUGGAAUGAUCUAAAGCAAAAUGAAUGCUAGAAAGGAAUCUUUCCUCCCUCAUUCCUUUCCUUCCCCGCUUCCCUCCCUUAAAAGCAAGGGUUUUUUGAAGAUCACUAUUCCAGCAAGGGCAGUUCUACUUAAUUUGAAUCCUACCUGAUUUUUCUCCUAGAGUUCUGUAGUCACAUCUGACCUCUUGCCAGUUCUGAGGUCAGAAGAAUUGAAUAAGCCUCCCCUCCCUACACAGAAUGUUAAUUUAACACUAAGUAAUGAAUAUUUAAGGAUCCUAAUAGAUGUGUGAAUUAACAAUUAUGCCGUAACACCCGCUGUUAAUGCUUUCACCCUCUGCAUUGCCACAGACACUCCAUUUGGGCUUUAGUCCAGCUUUUUUAUAUUGUCAACACUGAAUCUUGAGAUGUCCUGUAGGCCCGGUGGCUUGUGAGUGAAUAACCCUGGUAGGGAGGGAUACUAGUCGACCUGUGAAGCAUGGGGGGCAAUUAAGUGAACCCUCUGCUGAAUAUAUUUUGAGGUGUAAAUAGUCAUUAAGUUCAUCCUAAUCAGACUGUGAGUUCUUUGUCGCAGGAUGCCAUAAAACACACUCAGAAAAGAAUGGCAGUAAUUAACCCAGCUAACUUCACUGGGACCGUGGGUAGCAUCAGUUUCGGCCUGCCUCCGUAUUUGUUCUGAGCAGACUGAAGUCACUCUAGAGUGCGCCCACAUCAGAUGAUAAGAAAAGAUGGUGGAAUUUUUUUAAAUGACAUACACAGAUUUGCCCUACUCUAUAUCAACAGUGAGCCUCAAGCAUAUGAUAUUAUAAGCAAGGCAUCAAAUGUAGUUUAAAAGAGAAAUAGCAGCCGGGCAUGGUGGCUCAUGCAUGUAAUCCCAGAACUUUGGGAGGUCAAGGCUGGCGGAUUACCUGAGGUCAGGAGAUCGAGACCAGCCUGGCCAACAUGGGGAAACUCCAUCUCUACUAAAAAUACAAAAUAAUUUUAGCUGGGCAUGGUGGCUUGCACCUGUA
rnacentral:lncRNA from 1 species